UUGUGCCUACGGGGGGCAGCAGUGGGGAAUAUUGCACAAUGGGGGGAACCCUGAUGCAGCGACGCCGCGUGAGUGAAGAAGUAUUUCGGUAUGUAAAGCUCUAUCAGCAGGGAAGAAGAUGACGGUACCUGACUAAGAAGCCCCGGCUAACUACGUGCCAGCAGCCGCGGUAAUACGUAGGGGGCAAGCGUUAUCCGGAUUUACUGGGUGUAAAGGGAGCGUAGACGGCAGGGCAAGUCUGGAGUGAAAGGUACCGGCUCAACCGGUACAGGCUCUGGAAACUGGCGGGCUAGAGAGCAGGAGAG
rnacentral:rRNA from 1 species